ACACAUCUCUUUUUUCAGUUUUCACCUUCUUUUAUCUUCUUUUUCACUCCCAUUUCCCUCCAUCCUCAACUCUUUUUCUCGAAGCUUCUUUCAUAUUUAAUCAGCCAAAACCCAACGCCGCCCCGCCACUCCCUUUCUUUCUUGCUCGUACCCAGUCAAUUCUUUCAACGAUGGAUUUGAGAGAUAAUAGUGAAAGAUGUCUUCUGGCAGUGGACGCAGACGAGGGAGAGGAAGGGAUAGAGGGAGGAUCGUUAGAGAGUCCAGCGGGAACAGAACUAAAUGAUUGUGAUGGAGAUAUUAUUCUUGAGCCUUAUGAGGGAAUGGAAUUUGAAUCGGAAGAUGCUGCCAAGAUUUUCUAUGAUAAGUAUGCUCGUCAACUGGGAUUUGUUAUGCGUGUGAUGUCCUGUCGCCGUUCUGAAAAAGAUGGACGAAUACUUGCUCGAAGACUUGGAUGCAACAAAGAGGGACAUUGUGUCAGUAUCCGAGGUAAAUUUGGGGCAGUUCGGAAGCCACGGCCGAGUACACGAGAAGGCUGUAAGGCAAUGAUUCAUGUCAAAUAUGAUAAGUCUGGGAAAUGGGUGAUUACAAAGUUUGUAAAGGAACAUAAUCAUCCUCUUGUGGUUUCUGCUCGUGAAGCUCGGCAGACCAUGGCAUGUCUUCCCCUUUUCAACCACCAACCGAUAUGUUACCUAGCCUUCUUGUUCUAUAGGAUGAAAAAGACAAGCAAAUACAGGAACUCACUAUAGAGCUGCGGAAUAAGAAACGGUUAUGUUCGACAUACCAAGAACAGCUUGCUGCAUUUAUGAAAAUUGUUGAAGAACAUACCGACCAAUUAUCAAGAAAAGUUCAAAAUGUAGUUACCAACCUUAAAGAAUUUGAAUCCAUUGAGCAAGAACUAUUGCAUCCUAGGUAGCCUAGCCACUGACUUCUUAUGCAGUGUGGUCGGUGGCCAUCGAUAUUUGGAGGUUGGUAGCAGACAAAGAACAAUGAGAACCCUUGAGAAAUCUACCCUGCUCCACUCCAAACUCAGAGGGAGCUAUAGAAAUGAGCAAUGCAAUAUUUGUUGUGUGUAUCAUAGCAAGCAGUGGCAUGAAGUUGAAGUACAUGGAGAACAUCUGAGCGGAGAGAGUUUUGAAUGAAGAGACGAUUUUAUUCACCUCUCUAAGUGAAUAACCAAUGCAGGCUUUUAUAGAAAUUUUGCUGAAAUUUUCUUUGGUUUGUGUAUAUGUUUGCAUCUGAUACUGCAAGCCGAACCAUCCAAAUCCCAUCCUGGAUGCCCACAGAGCUUUAAUGAGAAAAGCAAUAUUAGAAUUGUUUAAUUUUGCUAAUUUUUAUUAGGAUUAUCUGUUGGUCUGACUUGUAGUUCUCUACUUGGUGGAGCCAAGCUUUCCCCAGGUUGAGAUGGUACUUUUCUUUUUCUUAUGUUUAUUUCAGUGACUUAAUAAAAGCCCAACUUGUUAAUC